ACUUGCCAAGUUUUCAUGUUACACUUUAUCUGCCACGAGGAGCUCAAUCAGGACACAAACAGGUACUGACCACUUGAGCAAGUGCCCUGGUCACUUUCAGGUAAAUUUUGAAUAAGGAAGAGAGCACGGGAAAAUGCAGGGAGAACUGGUUCAGCAGCUCCACGAAGGUAUUUGGAUUUCCAAAGACCAGACCCCAUGAAGUGGCUUUCCAGGUGGGAACUUGACAGAGCAGAGGCAGAUUAGUGGCACUUCUGGGUCUGAGCGGAAAAGGAACGAAGUGCACCGGCAGCACAAAGACGGACCGCGGUCCCUCUUCAGACAGCUUCCGGCCACUUGAGUCACUGAAAC